UCCCUGAUGGCUCCAGAUGGUAAAGUAUCUGCCUGCAAUGCAGGAGAUCCAGGUUUGAUCCCUGGGUUGGGAA
rfam:TPA: Bos taurus chromosome 5, whole genome shotgun sequence.